CAUCAACACCAACAGUUAUUAACCAUUGGCUUUUUCUCCCUACUGAAAGUGCUUUACAACCCUAGAGCCUUCUUCACACACGCGGCAUGGCUGCGUCAGGCUUUCGCCCAUUGCGCAAUAUUCCCCA
rnacentral:rRNA from 1 species